rnacentral:rRNA from 1 species
UUUAAGCAUGCAAGUCGAGGGGUAGAAAGUCUUCGGACUUUAAGACCGGCGAACGGGUGAGUAACACGUAGAUAAUCUGUCUCUGGAUGGGGGAUAGCCCAUGGAAACAUGGGGUAAUACCGCAUAAGCUCUCUUUUUCAUAAGGAGGAGAGAGGAAAGGCGCUUAGGGGUCGUCCGGAGAGGAGUCUGCGGUUCAUUAGUUAGUUGGUGGGGUAAAGGCCUACCAAGGCGACGAUGAAUAGCCGGCCUGAGAGGGUGAACGGCCACACUGGGACUGAGACACGGCCCAGACUCCUACGGGAGGCAGCAGCUAAGAAUCUUCCGCAAUGGGCGAAAGCCUGACGGAGCGACGCCGCGUGAACGAAGAAGGCCUAACGGUUGUAAAGUUCUUUUCUUGGGGAGGAAUAAGCCUUGCAGGGAAUGGCAGGGUGAUGACGUUAACCGAGGAAAAAGCCCCGGCUAAUUACGUGCCAGCAGCCGCGGUAACACGUAAGGGGCGAGCGUUGUUCGGAAUUAUUGGGCGUAAAGGGCGCGUAGGCGGCAUAGCAAGUCAGGUGUGAAAGAUCUCAGCUCAACUGAGGAAACGCGCUUGAAACUGCUGUGCUGGAGUCUAGGAGGGGAAGCUGGAAUUCCUAGUGUAGGGGUGAAAUCUGUAGAUAUUAGGAAGAACACUGGUGGCGAAGGCGAGCUUCUGGCCAUAGACUGACGCUGAGGCGCGAAAGCGUGGGGAGCGAACAGGAUUAGAUACCCUGGUAGUCCACGCCGUAAACGAUGUGCACCUGGGUGUCGGCCCGAUGGGAGCGGUGCAGAAGCUAACGCGAUAAGUGCACCGNCUGAGGAGUAUGCUCGC